CUGGGGUUAGUUGUGACCUUUGUCAGGUUGAGGAAGACUAUGAGCAUGUCACUGUUUCUUGUCCCUUUGCAGUGGCUUGCUGGAGACUUCUAAGCAGCAUAAGUGGUUUGGGAUACCAUCCUGAUUCAUUGUUAGCUUUGAUUGAAUUUUCGUCUCAAACCAAGAUAGCAAGCUCUCUAAAAAUGAUGAUUUCCUAUCUUCCUUGGCUUUUAUGGAAUG
rnacentral:lncRNA from 1 species